AGGAGCCGUAUGAGGUGAAAAUCUCAUGUACGGUUUUGUAGAGUGGCAACAGGGGUGACUUAUCUGUCAACUUUUCC
rnacentral:ncRNA from 1 species